ACGUUAGCGGCGGACGGGUGAGUAACACGUGGGUAACCUACCUAUAAGACUGGGAUAACUUCGGGAAACCGGAGCUAAUACCGGAUAAUAUUUCAACCGCAUGGUUCGAUAGUGAAAGAUGGUUUUGCUAUCACUUAUAGAUGGACCUGCGCCGUAUUAGCUAGUUGGUAAGGUAACGGCUUACCAAGGCGACGAUACGUAGCCGACCUGAGAGGGUGAUCGGCCACACUGGAACUGAGACACGGUCCAGACUCCUACGGGAGGCAGCAGGC
rnacentral:rRNA from 1 species